rnacentral:rRNA from 1 species
GAGCCUUCCAUGACUCAUUAACAAACCCUACCAUUUUACCCGCCAGAGUACUACAAGCGCUAGCUUCAAACCCAAAGGACUUGGCGGUGCCCCAGACCCACCUAGAGGAGCCUGUUCUAUAACCGAUAAUCCCCGUUAAACCUCACCACUCCUAGCCAUUAUACCGCCUAUAUACCGCCGUCGUCAGCUCACCCCAUGAGGGAAUAAAAGUAAGCAAAAUGGACCUACUCCAAUACGUCAGGUCGAGGUGUAGCGAAUGAAGUGGAAAGAAAUGGGCUACAUUUUCUAACAAGAAAAAACGAAUAGUACAAUGAAAAAUUACUUAAAGGUGGAUUUAGCAGUAAGAAAACUUUAGAAUAUUAUUCUGAAACCGGCUCUGAGGCACGCACACACCGCCCGUCACCCUACACACAUCGACCGUCCCCCCAACCUGACUAUUUCCAGAACAAGCGAUGCCCGUUAACUUGAAUGGGGGGGAGCGGAAGGAUUAAGACACAUUUCGAGUGCCCAGGGGGGGGGGGGGGUCUGCACUGGGCACCAGAGAGAUGCAAACUAUCAAGGACGUUGGCUCCUAAAAUCAAGAAGACAGGACAAAUGGAGAAAUUUGUUAUGAUCACAUCUUUGGGAGGGGGUUCAACAAU